rnacentral:misc_RNA from 1 species
AGCAUAGAGUUGAGUUUGUGAUUGCAUUUCCGCAAAACGGCAUCGUGUUUUUGAUCGAUAAUACUUCGUAGACACAAUGUUUAGAAACCAGUACGAUACCGAUGUGACGACAUGGUCGCCGGCGGGAAGGUUAUUUCAGGUGGAGUAUGCAAUGGAGGCAGUGAAGCAAGGUUCGGCGGCGAUAGGUUUGAGAUCGAAGACGCAUGUGAUUCUGGCGUCUGUUAACAAGGCUAAUUCUGAGCUGUCUUCUCACCAGAAGAAGAUCUUCAAAGUUGAUGACCACAUCGGAGUUGCAAUCGCUGGACUUACUGCUGACGGCCGUGUACUUUCUCGUUAUAUGCGUACUGAGUGUAUUAACUAUAGUUACUCUUAUGAGUCGCCGUUACCUGUCGGGCGUCUGGUUGUUCAGCUUGCUGAUAAAGCUCAGGUUUGCACUCAACGAUCCUGGAAACGGCCUUAUGGUGUUGGCUUGCUUGUUGGUGGACUGGAUGAGUCUGGUGCUCACCUUUAUUACAACUGCCCUAGUGGUAACUACUUUGAGUAUCAAGCGUUUGCCAUUGGAUCUCGGUCACAAGCUGCAAAAACCUACUUGGAACGUAAGUUUGAGACUUUCAUGGAUUCUUCACGUGAAAGCCUGCUUAAGGAUGCACUCUUUGCUCUGAGAGAAACUCUGCAAGGGGAAAAACUGACAAGCUCCAAUUGCACGGUGGCUGUGGUAGGAGUAGGAGAGGCUUUCCAUACCCUGGACAAGGAAACCAUACAAGCAUUGAUCAAUGAAUUUGAGAUAGCUGGAGAAGAUGCUCCUGCCGAAGUCCCGGAAGAGGCUGCAACUGAUGAACCAGCAGCACCUGAAGAAGGUGCUGCCCCUGCUGAUCAAGGAGCUGCCCCAAUGGAUAUUUGAUAAUGUUAUGUCUUCCUUUAGGCCUCACUUCUUUCAUAUUCAGAGAUUUCUUCUUAGAAUGUUGAGAUUUUGUGUGGCACAAUGGGUUAUAUUUUCUGCUUGGAUGUUUUAUUAUGCAAUCAUGCUUUACUUUGGUCCAAACAUCUUUAAAACUCAUGCUUCUGAAGUUGAACUAAAAACAGCUUUAAGU